CCUUGCUUCUUAAAGUUUCGAUCACUCCUAGACGCGACGCCCUCAGUUGAACGAGUGUCUUGCUGUCAAGCUAGCUGUUGCAUUCCUUCACGAAGCUCAUCAUUCAAAUUUUGUGUAUGUUUGGGGGUGUGGCGAUUGGAGAAUAGUGUUGUGGUGAAAAACCUUGUAGGUGAUUCCAUAGGUAUUGCAUUCCAGGCUACAAAAAUUAGGAUCUGUAGAGAAGCAUAAGUACAAUUAUAGCGGUGGAAUAAUUACGUUUGAUGAAUUGCAUAAAGACCUUGCAAUUGGUUUGGCAUCCUCUGCAAUAAGGCAGGAAGUGUCACCAAUAUAAGCCUUAAAGAUUCUGGUCUGAAAGG